ensembl:lncRNA
GGCAACCUCUCUUUUGGAUGCCAAAGAAAACCUGGGAAGGUCAGUGGAGGCAGUGUUAUGUUCUGUUGGGAAACCAUGGGUCCUGGAAACCCAAAGAUUUCAGCAGGAUAAUGCACCUCGCCACACUGCAAAAAUUGUUUGAAGUACAUGACAAAAAGAUAAAAUCCAUGGAGGCUUCAUCUCGCAACUUGCAGGACUUAAAGGAUCUGCUGUUAAUGUCUUGGUGCCAGAUAUCACUGAACAUAUUAGACGCAUCAGAGCUGUUUUGGGAGCACAACGGGGACAUACAUGAUAUUAGGCAGGUAUGUUGUGGCUGAUCAAUAUAU